CCUACGGGGGGCAGCAGUGGGGAAUAUUGCACAAUGGGGGAAACCCUGAUGCAGCGACGCCGCGUGAAGGAUGAAGUAUUUCGGUAUGUAAACUUCUACCAGCAGGGAAGAAAAUGACGGUACCUGACUAAGAAGCCCCGGCUAACUACGUGCCAGCAGCCGCGGUAAUACGUAGGGGGCAAGCGUUAUCCGGAUUUACUGGGUGUAAAGGGAGCGCAGGCGGCAGCGCAAGUCUGAUGUGAAAGCCCGGGGCCCAACCGCGGGACUGCAUUGGAAACUGCGCAGCUGGAGUGCCGGAGGGGUAA
rnacentral:rRNA from 1 species